rnacentral:tRNA from 2 species
GGCUCGUUCGACUUCUGGUGAGGUUACCAGCCUUUCACGCUGGGCAGGUUGGGUUCGAAUCCCACACGAGCUA